GUAAUACUAAAUCUAUAGCCAAACAUAAUUAAUGACAGAUUUUCAAAAGAAAAAAAAUAUGUUUUAAAAUAAAUAAAAAAUCAAAACUAAUAACUAACCAAUUUUCAUGUUAAUCAUAAUAAAUUUGUUACCAUAAACUGUGGCCUAUUAAAUUCGAAAUUGAAUAUUUGUAAACAAAUUUUUAAAAAUUGAUAUUUAUAGUAUUUAAAUUGUAUAUAUGUAAACAGUUUAUAUUAGGUAAAUAAAAGUAUGAAAUAAAUUAGGUCCAAGGAAAGAUUAAUAUACUAUAAAUAUCUAAAUUCUAUAGAAGUUU
rnacentral:lncRNA from 1 species